rnacentral:rRNA from 1 species
CCCGCUGAACUUAAGCAUAUCAAUAAGCGGAGGAAAAGAAACUAACAAGGAUUCCCCUAGUAACUGCGAGUGAAGCGGGAAGAGCUCAAAUUUGAAAUCUGGCGGCUUCGCCGUCCGAGUUGUAUUCUGGAGAAGCGUUUUCCGUGCUGGACCGUGUACAAGUCCCUUGGAACAGGGCGUCGUAGAGGGUGAGAAUCCCGUCUUUGACACGGAUCCCCGGGGCUUUGUGGUGCGCUCUCAAAGAGUCGAGUUGUUUGGGAAUGCAGCUCAAAAUGGGUGGUAAAUUCCAUCUAAAGCUAAAUAUUGGCGAGAGACCGAUAGCGAACAAGUACCGUGAGGGAAAGAUGAAAAGAACUUUGGAAAGAGAGUUAAACAGUACGUGAAAUUGCUGAAAGGGAAACGCUUGAAGUCAGUCGCGUCGGCUGGAAAUCAACCUUGCUUUAGUUGGGUGUACUUUCCAGUUGACGGGCCAGCAUCAGUUUUGACCGGUGGAAAAAGUCCAGAGGAAGGUGGCACUUUCGGGUGUGUUAUAGCCUUUGGUCGUAUACAUCGGUUGGGACUGAGGAACUCAGCACGCCGCAAGGCCGGUCUUCGGACACGUUCGUGCUUAGGAUGCUGGCAUAAUGGCUUUAAUCGACCCGUCUUGAAACACGG